rnacentral:rRNA from 1 species
UACGUAGGGCGCAAGCGUUGUCCGGAAUUAUUGGGCGUAAAGAGCUCGUAGGCGGUUUGUCGCGUCUGCUGUGAAAACCCGAGGCUCAACCUCGGGCCUGCAGUGGGUACGGGCAGACUAGAGUGGCGGUAGGGGAGAUUGGAAUUCCUGGUGUAGCGGUGGAAUGCGCAGAUAUCAGGAGGAACACCAAUGGCGAAGGCAGAUCUCUGGGCCGUAACUGACGCUGAGGAGCGAAAGCAUGGGGAGCGAACAGG